GUGGGGAAUCUUGCGCAAUGGGCGAAAGCCUGACGCAGCCAUGCCGCGUGGAUGAUGAAGGUCUUAGGAUUGUAAAAUCCUUUCACCGGUGAAGAUAAUGACUGUAGCCGGAGAAGAAGCCCCGGCUAACUUCGUGCCAGCAGCCGCGGUAAUACGAAGGGGGCUAGCGUUGCUCGGAUUUACUGGGCGUAAAGGGCGCGUAGGCGGACAUUUAAGUCAGGGGUGAAAUCCCGGGGCUCAACCUCGGAACUGCCUUUGAUUCUGGGUGUCUUGAGUAUGAGAGGGGUGUGUGGAACUCCGAGUGUAGAGGUGAAAUUCGUAGAUAUUCGGAAGAACACCAGUGGCGAAGGCGACACACUGGCUCAUUACUGACGCUGAGGCGCGAAAGCGUGGGGAGCAAACAGGAUUAGAAACCCUGGUAGUCC
rnacentral:rRNA from 1 species